rnacentral:rRNA from 1 species
AACCGGACCGGUCCUUUGCCGUAAAACGCACCGGAUUGGAAAGGGAGAUAUCAUACACCCUGUGUUUAUUUACCUUUGUUGCUUUGGCGGGCCGUCCUUUAGGCGUCGGCCCCGGCUGAUCGCGCCCGCCAGAGGACCCAAACUCUUUUAUCAGUGAUGUCUGAGUACUAUAUAAUAGUUAAAACUUUCAACAACGGAUCUCUUGGUUCUGGCAUCGAUGAAGAACGCAGCGAAAUGCGAUAAGUAAUGUGAAUUGCAGAAUUCAGUGAAUCAUCGAAUCUUUGAACGCACAUUGCGCCCGCUGGUAUUCCGGCGGGCAUGCCUGUUCGAGCGUCAUUAUGACCAAUCAAGCUCUGCUUGGCCUUGGGGCCCGCUGUACCGGCGGCCCUUAAAAUYAGUGGCGGUGCCGUCUGGYUCUAAGCGUAGUAAUACUUCUCGCUAYAGRGUYCAGUCGUYUACCCGCCAGAACCCCCCAACUUUCUUAGGUUGACCUCGGAUCAGGUAGGGAUACCCGCUGAACUUAAGCAUAUCAAUAAGCGGAGGA